UCCCCCCCCGCCCCGGCUCCUUUACCCCCGCCCGCCCCUGGGAAACGCGGCCCCGCCGAGCCCGGGCGGAGGUGGCGGCAGCCGGGUGUGAGGGGAGCGCCGUCCCCUCACAGCUUCCCGCCCCGAGACAGCCCUGUUACAUCUGCUUUGAUCCACCCACUCCCCAUCGGAAAGCACAAGCGGAGCAGGGUGCCAGCUGCUGUGCGACCUCGUGUCCGAGAGCGGAGCUGUAAGGUCGUACGUGAGGGGAGAGCGAUCUCAAGGAAUCUGAGAUGAGAGACCGCUAGAUUCUGAUGAUCAUCUUGACACCAUUGCUCUCAUCUGUAUAUUGACAGG